rnacentral:tRNA from 1 species
GGAAAUAUGCCUGAAUUAAAGGACCACUUUGAUAGAGUGAGUUAUGAGAGUUAAAAUCUCCCUAUUUCCU